rnacentral:rRNA from 1 species
GAUUGAGAUUUUAUAACAAUGGCUUCAGUGGCGGACUGGUGAGUAACGCGUGAGCAACCUGCCUACUAGAGGGGAAUAACAGUGAGAAAUCAUUGCUAAUACCGCAUAUGCCAUGAACAUCACAUGAUGAAAAUGGGAAAAGAGUAAUCUGCUAGUAGAUGGGCUCGCGUCUGAUUAGAUAGUUGGUGGGGUAACGGCCUACCAAGUCAACGAUCAGUAGCCGGACUGAGAGGUUGAACGGCCACAUUGGGACUGAGAUACGGCCCAGACUCCUACGGGAGGCAGCAGUCGGGAAUAUUGCGCAAUGGAGGAAACUCUGACGCAGUGACGCCGCGUAUAGGAAGAAGGUUUUCGGAUUGUAAACUAUUGUCGUUAGGGAAGAUACAAGACAGUACCUAAGGAGGAAGCUCCGGCUAACUACGUGCCAGCAGCCGCGGUAAUACGUAGGGAGCAAGCGUUAUCCGGAUUUAUUAGGUGUAAAGGGUGCGUAGACGGGACAACAAGUUAGUUGUGAAAUCCCUCGGCUUAACUGAGGAACUGCAACUAAAACUAUUGUUCUUGAGUGUUGGAGAGGAAAGUGGAAUUCCUAGUGUAGCGGUGAAAUGCGUAGAUAUUAGGAGGAACACCGGUGGCGAA